GGUUCACAUUAAAGUAGAAGCACAUUUGCAUGUUGUUCUUUCCUCAAAUCAUGACAACUUUGGGACGUGGCUCGAUGGGGAACAUAUUCCUUAUAGUUUCUCUUGUGUUUGUCAUGGUUAUUCAAUCAACUUCAUUUCCCACAAGAGAUGAUGUGCGUUGUGAUGUGCUACAACAAAGAUGUGCACCUAACAAUUGCAAUAUCCAACUAUGUCGAGUGUGGUAUGGAGAAAGACAAUUCAAAUCUGCUUUUUGCAAGAGGACUCCUCCUUUUCCUGACCAGUGUUGCUGCCAAAUGCGUGGCCAACCACCAAACUCCUAUGUCCAAGUCCCUUGAAGCUUAGGGGUUCUACUUGAAUAAUAAUAUUUCACCAUUACUUUUUUUCUUAUUUUAGUGAUAUCAAUAAAUAAAGAUGCAUUUGGCUAACUUGCUCUUGUAUGUGAUGUGAUCCAUUUACAUGAAGGAAAUGCAACAAAGAUGUUCUAACUA